UGGAGAGUUUGAUCCUGGCUCAGGACGAACGCUGGCGGCGUGCCUAAUACAUGCAAGUCGAGCGAGUCCCUUCGGGGGCUAGCGGCGGACGGGUGAGUAACACGUAGGCAACCUGCCUGUAAGACUGGGAUAACAUAGGGAAACUUAUGCUAAUACCGGAUAGGGUUUUGGAUCGCAUGAUCCGAAACGGAAAGAUGGCGCAAGCUAUCACUUACAGAUGGGCCUGCGGCGCAUUAGCUAGUUGGUGGGGUAAUGGCCUACCAAGGCGACGAUGCGUAGCCGACCUGAGAGGGUGACCGGCCACACUGGGACUGAGACACGGCCCAGACUCCUACGGGAGGCAGCAGGAGGGAAUUUUACACAAUGGACGAAAGUCUGAUGGAGCAACGCCGCG
rnacentral:rRNA from 1 species